AUGUUUUGUAUAUAUAUUUAUUACAGGUCUGGAAAGGGUUCAUUAUUGUUUAAAAUGUCAAGUAUUAUAACAAAUCGUGGAAUGGACUAUGCAGACCUAGAUAUUGACGAACUAGUUGACAAACUUACACCUGGGGAGAUUCAGAAACUUCUUGAGGAUUGUGAUCCAGAUGAUUCCCAGAUACCUCCUGGCCUCAGAUCAAAUUACCGUUGUGAAAAAGAAGCAACUGGACCUUUUGACAAGAAAAAACUAAAUGAUUUUAUAACUGAGCAGGCGAUAAACGAACCGGAUAUUCCUGACGUGGUUCCCCAUGUUCCUGGAACCGUGAGGGGGAAACGUUACACAGCUCCGUCCCGACCUAAACCUACUUUGGACGAUGAUAUCGAGAUCUCUCUUGACCUGGGGGAGGAUGUAGAGAUCGCACUAAACUCUGCUACCACGGACGAGAUUGUGGAUCUCGCAGGAAUCAUGGGACUUCACGCCUUGAUGAACCAGGACCAAUAUCAUGCUUCUCAGUCGGAGAAAGCUCCUCGAGCUGACCCUGAUAUCGGGUGGCAGGGUGUCACCAAAGCCUCGCCUUUGAAACCGUUUCCCGCUGAAGCUCCCAAUAAAACCGAGCCCGCUGAGGUUCUUGAAAAGAUCAAAUGCAACGAUCCGUCCUUGGUAUCGGUAAACCUGAACAACGUGUACACCAAGGAGAACCAGUUCAUCGAGAUGUUCCAGGCCCUGGAACAGAACACCCACCUCAAGGACCUCAGCCUUGCUAACACGGGAAUGACGGAUACAGCUGCGGCUGUAUUGGCCUCCGCCCUAGAGGUCAACAAAACCCUGGAGACCAUAAACUUUGAGUCCAAUAAUGUUAACCCGCAAACAAUCGCCAAAAUGUUCGAAGCAAUAAACGUGCAGCAGACCCUUUUGGGGCUCAAGGGGAGUAACCAGCAAGCACAGUUCUUGGGGAACAAGGUGGAGACCGCUAUCACGAAGGCGAUUGAGAACAACAAGGCGAUUCUCAGGGUUGGUCUGCACUUCCAGUUCGGAGACUGUAGGAAUAGGGUUGCUGUGCAGCUGCAGAAAAAUCUUGACCGUCUUAGAUUGAAGAGAAUUGCACACAAGCUUUCCAAUGCAGGAUCUGAUUAAAGUUUCCAAGUUUGUAAGAUUUGCAAGCUUCUAAAUAAUGAUUGAACUCUCACGGAUCGAGAAAUCAUCUGUUCGCUCCAGUAGCUCUUUUUUUCUAUAAUCUCGCUCUAUAACAAGUUUAUCCGAGUUUGUGCAUUUAACAUUUUCCUAAACUAUAGAUUCAAUUGUUUUAUUGAUGAUUUUUCUCUGUUUUAUUACCAUCAUUUUUCUACAAAUAAGCUGUUGUGAGAUCUCAGUAAACCUGCUUUUAACUGUCGAGACCAUUUUCAAAUUUGCAUUUUCUUAGUCGAGGGGUAGAAACCCAUUAGAUUCUCUUGGUUCCUGGAAUUGCCUAAUAAUCUACCCGGGCCCUGGAACCACUUGGUUUUCUAUUGUUUAAAAGCAACAUCCGGUAUAUUUUUGUUUUUCAUGUUUUUAUUGUAUCUAUCUGGUUUAUGCUGUUUUAUAAUUUUCUUUUGAUUUAGUUUCCUAUUUAGACUUGCGAGCAUUUGCUUCCAUUUUGUAAACUGACGUUUAUAAAGCUUGAGAGAUAGUGUAACAGUGCUUAGGAUCCGGAUUCAUUGAAUUCUUGGCUAUUGGUAUCCGGAAUUAAGUGGCAAAAAAUCUACAAUAACAUCGAAAAUAAAACUUUUUUGCUCUUAAAACACACAUUUCAACUGGCAACUAAUGAAAAAAUCAUGAAUACCUUCUCAAUCAUUUUAUUUCAUAAAGAUCUGCGAAAAAGUAGAAGAACAUUUUGGAAAUUUGUUUUUGGUAAAAUGAAUUGAUGAUCGAUCUGGACCCAUUUUUUAUAGGACGGAUCCAGGAUCAGGACCCGGAUAAAAAGAAAUGGAUCCUAAGCACUGGUUGUAAAGUAUUGGGUAUGAACCGCAAUGCAGUCUGUGCACACGCGUUGAAUAGCUUUAAUACAACUAGUGUUGUUUGCAUUUAUUCAUGUAUCUUCUAUGUACCAUUGUACCAGUAAUGUACCAAACCUUAAGAAUUAUAGAAUAGUGAACCCAACAUUAUUUAAUGAGACAAGAAAUGGAAUAAAUUUCAAUUUAACAAACCUUACAUUUCUUGUCUCUGGACUGUUUGAACAACGAUAAAGUUCUCAUUGUACAUCCGUUUCAUGUCCUCAAAAAGUCUGUUUAUCUGCAUGAAUAUAUUCAUUAUUUAUGGUUUGACAUUAAUUCAAUCUGUUUUCAGA
rnacentral:misc_RNA from 1 species